rnacentral:rRNA from 1 species
AACGAACGCUGGCGGCAGGCUUAACACAUGCAAGUCGAGCGGGCCCUUCGGGGUCAGCGGCAGACGGGUGAGUAACACGUUGGAACGUACCUUUUGGUUCGGAACAACUCCGUGGAACUGGCCCUAAUACCGGAUAAGCCUUCAGGGGGGAAGAAUUAUCGCCAAACGAUCGUCCCGCGUCUGAUUAGGUAGUUGGUGGGGUUAAGGCCCUCCAAGGCGACUAUCAGUAGCUGGUCUGAGAGGAAGAUCAGCCACACUGGGACUGAGACACGGCCCAGACUCGUACGAGAGGCAGCAGUGGGGAAUAGUGGACAAUCGGCGCAAGCCUGAUCCAGGCGUGCCGCGUGAGUGAUGAAGGCCUUAGGGUUGUAAAGCUCUUUUGACCGGGAAGAUAUGACUGUACCGGAAGAAUAAGCCCCGGCUAACUUCGUG